rnacentral:lncRNA from 1 species
AAGGUCGCGCCACCCGUCAAGGUCGAGCGGGCCCAGCACCCGACCCCGCGCGCAGCGGCAGAAGUGCGGACGGGCAUCGGCGGGCGGGAUUCGGGCCCGCAGCCGGCGUGGCCGUGCCCGGGCGAGGCCGCAGUGAGGAUCCCUGCCCCCCACCCCGUCUGAGCGGUUAUGAAAUGGUCUCAAAAUGCCCUACUUUCCCAAAAUAUCUUGCACACUUCACAUUUUCUCCAGGAGGAAGCUAUCAAGCCGGAGCCCGGCCAGGCCCAUACCUGCGAGGACUCUGUGCACGUUUCUGCCCUGUUGGAUUUUUCUUUUUGCAUCUGCCCCACCCCCGCACACCGCCCUCCACGGUCAGACGGUGCUGAUUUCUGGGCUGAACUCAAACUCCAAGAUCCUCCUGCUUCAGCCUCCAGUGCUGUGAUUACAGGCAUGCGUUACCACGCCCACUUUGACGCCAGGACUUUCUGAGAGAGGGAGGCUGAGAAGCCCCACGUCCCCAGUGGAGAAGUGGGAGACUGGGAAGGAGGUGGACAGAGGCUGCAGAUCCGAGGAGGGAUCCCCUGUGAAGAUGCCGUUUUGAGCUCCUUCCUUCAAAAACCAGUUGGAGGGAAUUUAGCUCAGUGGUUUCGCUGAGUUCGAUCCCCAGUACCAAAAAAAAAGCCAGUUGGAGUGUUGCUGUUACUGUAACGGAGUCAUGGCUGUGAGGCUUUGAGUGGGAAGGCCCAGGCCAGGAAGAGCUGGGACAUUCAAGUUCUGGGAGGAGCCCAUGAAUCCUCUGGUCACAGAUGAGACAGGAACAGCUUCCAGAUGAGAGGAAAUAAAUUCUGAGCUACAUAGUGAGAUCCUGUCUCAAACAAAACAAAACAAAAAACAUUUCUUACACUGAUUCUCUUAUUUCUCCCCUUAUCUCUGCUCUCAUAUUUUCUUUCUUCAUUGGGUUUAAUUUGUCCUAUUUCUAGCUCUUUGGGCUUUUUUGUUUUUCUGACACAGAGUCUCACUACGUAGUGCAGGCUGGCCUUGAACUCUGGGUGAUCCUCCUGCCUCAGCCUCCAGAGUGCUGGGAUUAGAGGCAUGUAUCACCACAAUGGCUCACUGGUUAAUUUCCAUAUUUGUGAAUCUCCCCCUUGCUUUCUCCUUACCUCUGGUCUUGUCUGUGUGAUCAGAGAAGGCAGGAUUCAGAGUUCAGUGAGAGCCGCGGUCUGUCCUGGAGGGCUAUGUCUGGCGGCCAGUGCAGUGGUGGGCUCAGGGCCGGCCAUUUGUAGUCAGGUAACCCUUGGCACAUGUGUGAGAACACAGCUGCCUUCUCCCAGACUGGGGCCUCGCAGCCCUGCACCUGUCCCUGUCCCACCCCAGGAGCCAGGCUGAUUCUUCCUGGGCCACCAGCGCUACAGAAAUGGCCUUGAGUUCAGGAGUGAAGAUCUACACUUCCUGUCGCCCAGGCAGCUUCUGUGACUUGCUCAGGGCUGUGGGCACAGAGCUGCUGUCCCAGUGCACCGAUCCACCCUUGGUUCUCUGCUCUGAUGACGACUCCCGGAGGUUAGGCCACAGCCUUUGGCUCACCCCAGCCUCCGAGAGACCGGAUGCACUACAGGGAGGCAGGGUGGGGCUGCACCAGGGCCCUCCUCUCUGCUGAGCACCAGUCUGCUGCUGGUCCUGUCCCUUUUCACCAUUUCUACUCCUUGGACCCCAAAACUGGCAACAUGGGCGUGUGGCACACACCUGUAAUCUCAACACUCAGGAGGCUGAAGCAGGAGGAUCGCUCUGGGUUCCAGGCCAGCCAGGGCUACAUAGUGAAAUCAAGACCAACCUGCACUACAUAGUGAGACUGUUUCUCAAAAAAAUAAAUACCACCUGGCCACAGAUGGUCCCCAGGGAACAAGACAUGCAAGCUACCUGCCUUUCCACUCCAGCAGCCGGGUCCCAGACAGGUGCCCCCUGCAGGCAGCCACAAGGACAGCAGCCCUCCCUCUCCCUGGUU